rnacentral:rRNA from 1 species
UACGUAGGUGGCAAGCGUUGUCCGGAAUUUAUUGGGCGUAAAGCGCGCGCAGGCGGUCCUUUUAAGUCUGAUGUGAAAAGCCCCACGGCUCAACCGUGGAGGGUCAUUGGAAACUGGGGGGACUUGAGUGCAGAAGAGGAGAGUGGAAUUCCACGUGUAGCGGUGAAAUGCGUAGAGAUGUGGAGGAACACCAGUGGCGAAGGCGACUCUCUGGGUCUGUAACUGACUGAGGCGCGAAAGCGUGGGGGAGCAAAACAGG